rnacentral:tRNA from 1 species
GGGGCGGUGCUCGGAGCUACGAGGCGCACCUUGGCAAGGGAUACAUGCCGUCGUUGACGGGUUCGACUCCCGUCCGCCCUACCA